rnacentral:rRNA from 1 species
UACGUAGGGGGCAAGCGUUGUCCGGAUUUACUGGGCGUAAAGCGCGUGUAGGCGGCCAAACAGGUCCGUUGUGAAAACUGGAGGCUUAACCUCCAGACGUCGACGGAAACCGUAUGGCUAGAGUCCGGAAGAGGAGAGUGGAAUUCCUGGUGUAGCGGUGAAAUGCGCAGAUAUCAGGAAGAACACCAAUGGCGAAGGCAGCUCUCUGGGACGGUACUGACGCUGAGACGCGAAAGCGUGGGGAGCGAACAGG